GAAACAAAGGGGCUCCAAGUGACAGGGCCAAGGCUAUGGAGUGACAUUUCACCCUUACCCUACGGCCCCACAUUGCUCCUCAGCCAUCUGAGCCCCCAAAGAAAUGGUGACAGUACCCCUGUCACCCAUGGAAGACUAGAGAGGCACCUUGCUUAUUCAGAGCAUGAUUGCCCCAGACCAGAAAGAAGUGGAAGAAACAGACCCUCCAAAGAAGAUGAGAAGAAAGAAGGGGGCCCGCGGAGAGUGCAGUCUGCUGAUGUCCUGAUGAUAUCAGCAGCAGAGAGAGCAUUGUCACAGUGAACAGUCUUGGUUCCCAGGUAAAGGGCUUCAUGAUUGGCUCCAUUUUUUACAGAUGUGAACACCAAGGAGCAGACUGGGGAGAAGGGAAAGGUGCUUGGCCAAGGCAAGACUCAGUGGCCCCAAAUUCAGGUCCAGGUCACCCUGGCAGCAUCCCUGUGGGCUCAGCGGAGCUGGGUAGAGCACAGCAGAAAGGAGCUGUUUUCUGCAUUUGGCUUGUGAUGUUUGUUACCUGCAGCAUGUGGUCAGAUAAGACACUGGAAGAGAGGUUCCUUCCCACCUCUUACAAGGGUGACUUCCUCCUCGGCAUGGCUUUCUGCGAGAGGUCACCACUUGCUUCCUUGGGCCUGAGUGAAGAAUCAGUGCCUUUCCUCCACAGUGUGAAGACACAGGACGAGUCUGGAGUGCAUUAGAGAAGCCAGGAGAAGUCGCUCCUUGUGAUGCUGAAGUCAGGGAAGAAGUGAAGACCGUGGGUGGAAAUGAGAAGCAUUCAACCAUAAAUUAACGUAAACCCGGGGUCAUCCCACAUACAGCCCUGGCAAUAAGGGAAUUCACAAUGUAGAAGAAGAAGUGUGUCAGGCAUUAAACACCAGGUCAGGCUGCAGAGAAAUCCAGACACCAGGAAAAUUUCUCAUGGGAAAUCUACUGUCUGCCCUCCACAGGGUGUGAGUCUUGGCCUUCAGAACAAGCUAUCACGGUUGUGGUGACCUUUGGUGUUCUCUAAGCUAUCUGAGGUCACAGGUUCAAUGUUACCUUUGGGUUUCUACAUGCAGGUGACUACAAUGAGCCUCUGGAGCCGCCUUCUCUUCAGGAACUUAGCAAAUGGAAGACCCUUCCCCAGUAAAGAUGUCUUUGAACUUAUGAAUAAAUCGAUUGCCACAUCUUCCCUGAAGCCUGGGACUCUAAGUUGACUUUGCCACUCGCUUCUAAAGCUUGCACCCAAGAGAGGGAAACUAACAAACUUCACUCCUUUGCUUACUUCACGGCUGAACAAUAAAUAUUUGGGCAAGCCCUGGGAACUCUGGAAAGAGAAACAACUCAGCUCUCCUCCAUGAGUCUCACCUGUCUCUCAGAUCAAAGUAUCACAGACACAGAGAGAGGGACCCUUCUCUCUAGGGACCUGUUCACAUGCCUCUCUCCACAGCACAUGGAGGCUUUGCUUCUGAGAGCUUGGGUGGCCAGGUGAGCAGCUGCUGUUCAGCACCUCUAUGAAGACACAGUGGCUGGAACUCUGAUAGCAGGAGCUUAAGGAGACAGAUUAAGGACCUUUUUGCAGGAGCUGGCUGCUUGCGAGUUUUCCUUACUUCUUGUCCCCCCUUUUUUAUCCCUCGUGCUUUCGAGUAUUUGGUGGUGAUCGUGAAAAUUGGCACUCAUUUACAGAAAUGCCCCUUGGGGACUUCAGGUAUUGCAACUGGAUAAAACAUAUAUUGGCUUCAGAAUGGAGAGGAAAGCCCUUUAUUCAGUACACAUAGAUGGGUAAACGCUAGCAUGUAUCCGAUGCCUUAAACCAUGUUUGUUCUCAGUCCCUGGGAUGCCAGUGUUCAAACUUCGGAUGUAAUUAGGACGCUGUGCAAGGAUGUGUUUUCAAGGAUGCUAACUAUAGCUGCUCUGUCUGACUGUUAAACUGAGAAACUGUCUAGAUGUUCAAUAACUGGGAUUGAUCGAAUGAAUGAAGGCACAGAAAUAUAAUAAAGCACAUAUAAUUG
rnacentral:lncRNA from 1 species